CGUCGAGCGGCGAACGGGUGAGUAACGCGUAGGAAUCUGCCUGGUAGAGGGGGAUAGCUCGGGGAAACUCGAAUUAAUACCGCAUACGCCCUACGGGGGAAAGCAGGGGAUCUUCGGACCUUGCACUAUCAGAUGAGCCCGCGUCGGAUUAGCUAGUUGGUGGGGUAAAGGCCCACCAAGGCGACGAUCCGUAACUGGUCUGAGAGGAUGAUCAGUCACACCGGAACUGAGGCACGGUCCGG
rnacentral:rRNA from 1 species